UUGCAAAUGAUGAGUUAAUCACCAUUGAUAAAAGAAGCUCAAAUUAUUGAGCAGUGUUGGAAAUCAUAAACUUCCAUGACUCUGAUGCAA
rfam:Arabidopsis lyrata subsp. lyrata unplaced genomic scaffold ARALYscaffold_5, whole genome shotgun sequence.